UGCACUCACUAUUGUAAGUCGCUCUGGAUAAGAGCAUCUGCUAAAUGACUAAAA
rfam:Salmo salar isolate Sally breed double haploid chromosome ssa09, whole genome shotgun sequence.